rnacentral:rRNA from 1 species
UACGGGGGGGGCAAGCGUUGUUCGGAAUUACUGGGCGUAAAGGGCUCGUAGGUGGCCAACUAAGUCAGACGUGAAAUCCCUCAGCUUAACUGGGGAACUGCGUCUGAUACUGGACGGCUGGAGUAUGGGAGAGGAAUGCGGAAUUCCAGGUGUAGCGGUGAAAUGCGUAGAUAUCUGGAGGAACACCGGUGGCGAAGGCGGCUCGCUGGGCCAAUGCUGACGCUGAUGCGCGAAAGCGUGGGGAGCAAACAGG